UUGAAGAGAUUGAACGGGGAAAUAGACCAACGACCCAUUUCAAUAAAGAAGGGUGGCAAAACAUUAUAAAAAAUUUCAAGGAAUGUACAGGCAGAGAAUAUGACAGGUUGCAAAUGAAAAACAAGUGGGACCAAAUGAAGAAGGAAUGAAAAAUAUGGAAGGAAUUGAAAAAGGGUUCUACCGGUCUUGGUUGGAAUCCAAUAAAGCGAACAGUUGAUGCACCCGAGGAAUGGUGGGCUGAAAGACUUGCGGUGGUGCCUGCUGCAAAAAAGUUUAAACUUUCUGGAAUUGAGCCUGAAUUAGAGGAGAAACUAGACCGCAUGUUUGGGGGAGUGGUUGCAACGGGGAACUAUGCAUGUAGCCCAAGCGAGAUAGGGUUCGCUGGCAAUGUCGUGAAUUUGGGAACCCCUGGAGGUUCAGUUGGUUUCAUUGACGUCCCCAGCACAGAUCAGAACGAAUAUGAAACUAUUUCCCGUUCCAAACGUCCGAGGGUUGUUGAUAAAAGAAAAUAUGGUGCUUCUUCUCUCAGAAACGAGUUAUCCGAGGCAGUUUCUUGUUUGAAAGCAGAAUGUCAGUCUUCUCAUUCAAGCACAAUCGCAGAGACACUUGAAAUCCUAAGUGCUACAGCCAAAAUUUAUGCAGAUGAAGAGUUGUAUCUGUUCGCAGCAGAAUUGCUAGAAGACCCGGUCCGUAGGGAUUUCUUCGUGCAGAUGCCUGCCGCCCGCAGAGUGGCAUAUAUUUGGCGUUUUUACAAUCGUUUGAACAAUUGAUAUAUUUUCUAUUUUU